rnacentral:rRNA from 1 species
UGGGGAAUAUUGCACAAUGGGGGAAACCCUGAUGCAGCGACGUCGCGUGAGCGAAGAAGGUUUUCGAAUCGUAAAGCUCUGUCCUAUGGGAAGAUAAUGACGGUACCAUAGGAGGAAGCCCCGGCUAACUACGUGCCAGCAGCCGCGGUAAUACGUAGGGGGCAAGCGUUGUCCGGAAUCACUGGGCGUAAAGGGUUCGCAGGCGGAAAUGCAAGUCAGUUGUGAAAGGCAGAGGCUCAACCUCUGUAAGCAAUUGAAACUGUAUUUCUUGAGAUGUGGAGAGGCAAGUGGAAUUCCUAGUGUAGCGGUGAAAUGCGUAGAUAUUAGGAAGAAUACCGGUGGCGAAGGCGACUUGCUGGACACAAACUGACGCUGAGGAACGAAAGCGUGGGUAGCAAACAGG